CUCUUUCUUCCCGAGUCUCGGCCAGGUCUGAGGUGAAGCAGGAAGGCCCCAUACGGGGUGGCUAGGAAUGCCCUGUGUGGACUCCCAGGGGUCCAGUGACUUCCCUAAGACCACCAGGCAAGGUGGGGGUAGACCGAGUCCCAGUUCCUUCUGCCCACACUGUGUGCAAACCCUCUACUUCUGCCCACAAGGGCUAUAAUCUCCUAUCCCUUGAUGGUCUCAAUGACCUCUGCCCAGAUUUCUGAUGGGAAAACCAAGGGACGGAGAAGAAAAGCGACUUGCCCAUGUCUCAUGGCCCCAGGAACUCAAAAUCGAGGCGAGAUCUUUCUCAUCCGGGCUGCUUCUCCCAGCCCAAGAACAAAGCUGGACACGACAGGCUCAGGGGGAAAGAAGUGAGAGGAAGGCUGGAGCAGAGGAAGCGAGAACCCUCCAGAGAUGCGGAGCUGGACAGUUUUGCAGCUGUGCUGGUACCUGGAGCCUGGGCAGGCUGGGAGUCCUGCUUAACCCCACAGCCUGCAUGCUGGCACCAAGUGGGGGUCAAACCUAGGGCCUUCUGCUCCCAGGACAUAAGUCCCCCUCACUAUUCGGAUCUGCUGGAAGAACCAGAAUCCCAGCAGAAGUGCUGAGUCAUGUGGGGGAGUUUGCUGGCAUAACUUCUCCCCACCUGCACCCAAGGCAUUGUUGAGAAAAGAAAGUCUGCUGCCACCUAAGAGACCCAGAAUCAGAACAACGGUGUGAUCUGAACAAGAUGAAGGGGUGGUUUCAUGAUAAGAAUAAACUACAAGCUUCUUCUGCUCCUUCUAGAGGCCUGAUAUCUCCAAGGUAACUCCAGAAACUCCAAGAGGAGAUGAAGAGAAUCCAGGAAGUCACCAGCUGUGGUGAACAUUGUGCCUAACUUGACACCCUUUGUUUUGCCCAUUUCUGCUGCCACUCUAAGAAAAGCCACUAUGGGGUGAACUCCUGGGCUCCCAGGGCUGCUCCACGUCAACACCAAAUCUAGAAACCUCUGGUACUGGAUUUAACUACCCCUGGGGUUGCCAUGAAGAUGAAGUUCCAGGAUCCUGGAAGGCUGAGGGUGGAAACCAAGUUAGUGAUGAGGCAGGAGGAGAAGAUGGGGUGAGCUCUCUUGUAAAACAGAGCAGGGAGCUGGAUCUACUGUUUCAGAGUGAGCAGGCGAUGGCAAGCAGGAAGACACACUGUGUCGCCGGCUCACACCCACUCCUGCUGCCUGCUGCCUGCUGAUGGCCACGCCUCCUGAAAAGGCUGGAUUCAGGGUGGCCGCUCAACUUCGCAGCACCUGCUAUCUCCACUCUGUGCCCACUCCUUCGCCUGCCACGUCUCCUACAGACACUGAAAGGGCCCUAUCAAUUUAUUUGGUUAAGAUCCAUUUCAAUGCUCAGAACCCUAAUGUGGUCUGCAGAGCAUGAAUCCAGAUGGCCUCGGGUUGCCUUGCACCAGUCCUGUACUGUGCUGCUCUCCCAGUCUGUUUUGACUCCUCAACCUAAGGCAGGAAUCUUCCAAAGACCUGGAUCCUCCUACUUAGAGAACAAGGAGGGCAGGUGAUGAGAAUAAGGGGGCUAUCAAUGGAAAAGCAGAGCAACAAGAUCUUACAAAUACAGGGAGAAUGUCCACUGAGGUUGCAGGGUUUUGCAGGGUUUUGCAGGGAUCAAGGGAGGGGCACAGGUGGGUAGGUAGAAAGUUCCAGUCCCUAGGAAAUUAGAAAACUCUCCAUGUAUCGUCUCCGCACUAACAGCACCAAGCAGCAGCCCAUAGCCACCAACACCGGCUUCUGCUUACUGGUCAAGAGGAAGACAUCCCAGGGAGAUUUGAGAUUCGUGACAUAGCAGUUUGUGACUAUCAGGGUGCUGACCUCUCUGAGAAGCACAAGGUGACACACCUCAACAUCCAGACACAUCUACAUGGUUUCCAGAGGGCAUCUCUAUGACAGGGGCCCUCCAAUGGCAGCAGGAGGCCCCUGCAUAUGGUUCAGUGAACCAGAUUCCUCUUGCAGGGCACAAAUGGAAUGUGAGGCAAUGCCACCAUUUAGGGGCCAGCACAGAGACUCAGGGAACAAGAAGCUUAGAGCAAAGCAAGUCACAUGAUGUUAAGGCUAUGUGACUACUACAGCCUGCACAAGGAGAUGUUGUCACGCACUCCUCAAGACUCCAGAGAAGCCAAAAUAAAGAAAAGAGCCCCUGGCAAACAAAAUGAUGCCUGAAACCCACAUACUAAGCUUCUGCCUGUCACCUAUGGGAAAGCCCUUGGCCCUGCCCCGUGGCCCAGCCACUGAAAGCCUAUUUACUUUUAUUUUAGAAACAAACUCGUUUAUUUAAUUUCUCAUCCCAGAGGAGUUGAAAAGGGCACUGGGAUUAAUAGUGGCAGGUUCCUAAAAGACUUCCAGAAGUGACAACUAGCAGCCACGAAUUAGACCAGGGAUGCACACAUUUUUUCUAUAAAGGGUCAGACAGUCAAUAAUUUUAGCUUUGCGACUACUCUACUCUGCUCUGUAGCGUGAAAGCGGCCCCUGAUGAUAUGUAAAUGAGUGGGUAUGGCUAGGUGCCAGUGAAACUUUAUUUACCAAAACGGACGACGGGGACGUAGGCUUUAGUUUUUUGAUCCCUUGAUUACACAAAAAGUAUCAAAACAUGAUAUUAAAACCACUGGAAAAGCACAGCAGUCUGGGGCUAUUUAGGACAGGGGCAAACAGCAGACACACCUCAACAGAUCUGACCAGUGUCCCCAGACUGUGGCCUGGGCUCAGGAUUCCUUGCACUGGUUAGAAAAGGCACUGUGUCUCAGUCUUUGCCGCCGCGCCGGCGAGCGCCGCCCGGGAGGCAGCGGCUGGAGGAGCGGACGGGCCCCGCGGGGCCGGAGGGCAAGGAGCAGCCGCCUGCCUUGGCCUCCCAAAGUGCCGAGAUUGCAGCCUCUGCC
rnacentral:lncRNA from 10 species